rnacentral:rRNA from 1 species
GAUGAACGCUGGCGGCGUGCCUAAUACAUGCAAGUCGAGCGAACGGACGAGAAGCUUGCUUCUCUGAUGUUAGCGGCGGACGGGUGAGUAACACGUGGAUAACCUACCUAUAAGACUGGGAUAACUUCGGGAAACCGGAGCUAAUACCGGAUGAUAUUUUGAACCGCAUGGUUCAAAAGUGAAAGACGGUCUUGCUGUCACUUAUAGAUGGAUCCGCGCUGCAUUAGCUAGUUGGUAAGGUAACGGCUUACCAAGGCAACGAUGCAUAGCCGACCUGAGAGGGUGAUCGGCCACACUGGAACUGAGACACGGUCCAGACUCCUACGGGAGGCAGCAGUAGGGAAUCUUCCGCAAGGGGCGAAAGCCUGACGGAGCAACGCCGCGGGAGUGAUGAAGGUCUUCGGAUCGUAAAACGCUGUUAUUAGGGAAGAACAUAUGUGUAAGUAACUGUGCACAUCUUGACGGUACCUAAUCAGAAAGCCACGGCUAACUACGU